UACGUAGGGUCCGAGCGUUGUCCGGAAUUAUUGGGCGUAAAGAGCCCGUAGGCGGUUUGUCGCGUCUGCUGUGAAAUCCCUCGGCUCAACCGAGGAACGUCGAUCGAUACUGCUGUUCUUGAGGAUUGCAGAGGAGACUGGAAUUCCCGGUGUAGCGGUGAAAUGUGUAGAGAUCGGGAGGAACACCGGUGGCGAAGGCGGGUCUCUGGGCAAUUCCUGACGCUGAGGCGCGAAAGCGUGGGGAGCAAACGGG
rnacentral:rRNA from 1 species